AUCGGACACUUCCUUCUCCCCUCGGGAGAAGGUGGCCCGAAGGGCCGGAUGAGGGUACGUCUGCCAAGAGUGCGACCCGCCCCCGGCAAUCAAGGCAACAACAUAAACCCCAACUGGAAAGAC
rnacentral:sRNA from 1 species